rnacentral:rRNA from 1 species
CCUGCAUGGGUAUGGUGUGGAAAGUUUUUCGGUCUGGGAUGGACUCGCGGCCUAUCAGCUUGUUGGUGAGGUAAUGGCUCACCAAGGCGACGACGGGUAGCCGGCCUGAGAGGGCGACCGGCCACACUGGGACUGAGACACGGCCCAGACUCCUACGGGAGGCAGCAGUGGGGAAUAUUGCACAAUGGGCGAAAGCCUGAUGCAGCGACGCCGCGUGAGGGAUGACGGCCUUCGGGUUGUAAACCUCUUUCAGCAGGGAAGAAGCGCAAGUGACGGUACCUGCAGAAGAAGCACCGGCUAACUACGUGCCAGCAGCCGCGGUAAUACGUAGGGUGCGAGCGUUGUCCGGAAUUAUUGGGCGUAAAGAGCUUGUAGG